rnacentral:rRNA from 1 species
CCUACGGGAGGCUGCAGUGAGGAAUAUUGGUCAAUGGGCGCGAGCCUGAACCAGCCAAGUAGCGUGAAGGAUGACUGCCCUACGGGUUGUAAACUUCUUUUAUAAAGGAAUAAAGUGAGGCACGUGUGCCUUUUUGUAUGUACUUUAUGAAUAAGGAUCGGCUAACUCCGUGCCAGCAGCCGCGGUAAUACGGAGGAUCCGAGCGUUAUCCGGAUUUAUUGGGUUUAAAGGGAGCGUAGGUGGGUUUUUAAGUCAGUUGUGAAAGUUUGCGGCUCAACCGUAGAAUUGCCAUUGAUACUGGCAGUCUUGAGUACGGUUGAGGUAGGCGGAAUUCGUGGUGUAGCGGUGAAAUGCUUAGAUAUCACGAAGAACCCCGAUUGCGAAGGCAGCUUACUAAGC